rnacentral:lncRNA from 1 species
UCAAACGGGACUCUUCCCUCAAUGUUAUUUUAAUCCAACAGAUUUCUAACAGGAAAAAAGGAAUAUUACCUCCGAAUUUGCACGAUUUCUGUGCUCUUGGGAGAUUUACUUUAUAAAUGGGAGCCGUGGAUGGAUGGAAAUCAAUCCAUGCCUUCCAUUUGUUCCUAAAGUCGUUCACAAAUAAGGAAAUUUUUCGGAUCCUAGGCAGAAGCUUCGAGAAUUCUUUUUAAGGUUAUAUAUAAAUAAGUUCGUUUCUUGAUGAGGAAGGAAAAAAUUGGCAGAAGAUUUAAGUAAAAUUUCUAGAGUUCUCGAGCUUUUUCUUUUAUUCCUAAAGCUCGAGUCUGCUCUCUUCAGAAAAUGAAAAAAAAAGAAAGAAAUAAAAAUGGUCUGAGUUUGUGUUCUUCAUUCUAGUUUAAUUUAAAAAGAAAGAAAAAAAACAAAAAAUAUUUUCAGCAUUUUUUGAUUCUGGGUUCUCAAGGAUGGAGUUGGAUUGAAGUGAUUUCUGGUUCUCAAAGCUGUGGAUUUGCCGUUUGAUUUCCGCCGAUUUUGCUGUUUUUUCUGGAAUUGCUGAGCUUCCAUUCGAGUUUGCUCCUGUUUUAAUCGGUUUAUUCAAGUUUUUCCUUGUGCAACCGGGUUAGUUUGAAACUUUUCUGUAUUAUGUUUCCUGGUAAAUGAUCAAACAAAUGAGUUGCUGUCUAAGUUUGAGGAUCUGCUCCAUUUCCUGAUUAUUGUUGGUCUUAUAUGUAAUAAAAAGCUGUUAAGAUUUCUUGAUGUUGCUCCUGUUUAUAGUAAAGGUGAGAUUAGGGACCAAAAAUUGGGUAUGGUCAGUAGUCAUUAGUUUCCAAAAGGAAAACGGAAUCUAGGGUUCUAUUUGACAGGCUUAGAGUAGUCUAGAUAACAGUAAAAUGCAACAUCUUUAUUAUAAAAGCUGAUUUUGAAACUCCAUGAAAUUAGCAUGAAAAGUGUCAAAUUGGCCUAAAAUUUCUUUCUAUAAUUAACUUCUGGUGUUAGCAAGUUACUGUUGAUUAAGUUUAUUUAUUGUUGAUGACAAUUCAUAUGAUGACCAAAUGAUAAGCAUGCCUAACGUGGUGGAAACAGUAGCGAGCUUGUUUUAAUGUGCCGUUUUGCCGUUUGAUUAUUGUGUAGCCCAUUUGAUUUUACAAGAAUAGCCUAUCCCGUCUUUGUAUCUAAUUGAGUUCUAUACUAUAUUUUUGGUUGUAAUUAUCCAAUUAAUUAUUUGACUGUACUGAUACUACAGACUCUUCCAUUGUUCUUUCUUGCUGCGAGCCUCGGCUAGGUAAUGCUGAAAUUUCUUAGUUUUGUUACAAUGUAAAAGAGCUGGCAUACUGUAGUUCAAUCCGUAAAUCAUGAACUCCAUAGGAAUCUCCAAGUAACUUAGGAAAAUAAUUGUGAACAUCAUAGGUUCCUUUAGGCGCGUAAAUAAUUUAUUAUAACUAUGGAUAUGGUUCCAGUGACAAUAUUGUGAAACCUAAUUUUACAUUAGAUAAAAAUAUGAGCACCUUUAAUAUAUAUAUAUAUAUAUAUAUAUAUACCUUUUUCUUAUUAAAAUUUUAGGUGUGCCAAGCCCAAAACAAAACCUAUAAUGCAUGGCCCUCACAACAUUAGAUCAAGAGCUAAUCCUUUUAAAAUAUAAAUUGAGGUGUAUCAUUCAUACAUGAAUCCUAUAAUCUAUGGCCCUAACAUAAAUACAAAAUUAGUAUAGAAAAUACCUGAACUUUCGUAAUUUGUUUUAGGCGCGUUAAUUAAAUAAUUACCAUAACUACGAGUACGGUUUCCAUGACGUAGUUGUGACGCUUAAUUAAUAAAAUCCUGGGGUAUUUUUAUGUGACCUGGCCACAAUUUAAGUUUUAAUAAAUUAAACAUGUUGUAAAUUCAUGGGUACGGUUCCCGUGACAUGGUUUGCACUGGGUAUCAAACAAACAAGGGUACGACAAUCGUAACUUGUUCCAGAAUAAUUUCAUAAAAUAAUUAAAAAAGCGGUUAUAAAGUUAAAAAUGCACAAUAGGUUUAAAGUACGUAGUAAAUCACAUAAUGUGCCAAUUAUUAAUAGUUUAAGCGAAGGAUAAUGCAUAAAAACCACCCCAUCCUAUGACCAAAUUGCCAACUACACGCCUUUCCUUUGCAGGAGUCCUAUUAUCCCCCUGAACUAUUUUAAAGUGUAAUUAUUUACCCCUUAAAAAUCAACCAACAAAUGCUUGCAAGGUGGUGAAAUACACGCGCCUAGAGUUUUGAGAACAUCCAUUUCUGGCGGAUUUUAAACUAUUUUUCAGUCAUUUCAAGGUUAAAUGACGUUGAUACAUAAGUAAUUUACUCCGUAUAAAUUUUCAUAGUUUAACAGCCAUUAGUUUUCGAUGGAUUAUGAUUAAAACUACGAAAAUUUACUAUGAUUUUUUGGAUUAAUUUUCAAUUUUCUAACACUUUGAACUAGAAAAUUCACAUAACUGUUGUAAUGAAUGUGGGGUGCCUUUUUCGUGAUUAGACCAUGCUAUUUGCUAAGAAUGGGAAGAAUUUAAGUAGAGUAAAUACAAGGAAGUGUCACUGGUGUAGAAAAAGUAGUUGGGUUCUUGACUUUCCACUUGCCUUUGAGAGAGUGUGCAUGCUCUCUAUGCCACGUCAGCACUCAAUGUGGUGUUUAUUACACUUUAAAAUAGUGUAGGGGGGUAAUAGGACCCCCGCAAAGGAAAGGUGUGUAGUUGGAAAUUUGGUCAUAGGAUGGGGUGGAUUAUAUGCAUUAUCCCUUUAUGCGACGGUGCUAGAUCCACGGAACCCAGUAAUGCCUAACACCUUCUCUCGGGUUAACAAAAUUCCUUACUUAGUAUUUCUAGUUUGUGGACUCUUAAAAUAAAGUCGAAAUUUCCUCGAUUUGAAAUUUAAAAUAAAUGGGUUACUUGGGACACCAAAUAAACUUUCCAAAGUGGCAACUCUAAUGCAUUAAUAAUCUCAUAUAGAUUAAUGUCAUUUUAAUUGGAAAAAUCUCCCUUAUAUAUGCUCUCGGGGUGCAAAAAGAAGGUGUGAUAGAUGCCGAAACCUAUCAAAUCACGUCUGAUUGACCUCCAAUUUUACACAUAAGUGAUAAAUGAUACAAUGGACCUACUCCAAAUCCCGAAACAAAUAUCUAAGACCGGUAACCACAAAGUCAUGUCUCGGUCAAACUUCUCAAUUUUCAAAACUUCAUUUUUUCAAUUUUUCCCAUUUCAAUACUAAAUUCAUUACAGACCUCCAAAUCACCAUCCGAACAAGAACCUAAGUCUAAAAUUACCCAAUAGUUAUCGAAACCAUCAAAACAUAAUUUUAGACCCAUUACACAUAAGUCAACAUCUAGUCAACCUUUUGAACUUAAGCUUCCAACCUUUAGACUAAGUGUCUCAACUCAUUCCGAAAUAUUUAUGAAACCGAAAUGACAAUCCGACAAGUCACGUAACAACAAUUUCGCAUAGUAUAAGAAAUAAAUGGAAAAAUGAGGCUACAAUAAUCAAAACGACUGGCCAGAUCGCUACAUUAUCCGUAGCAAUGAGCUUAAGGAUAUCCACGAGUUCAAAACCUAUCAUGGAAAAUGCUUUCAAAUAAAAGAUUUGGGUACACUGAAAUAUAUUUUAGGAGUGGAUGUCUCCAAAGUUUUAGAAGGCAUCUUCUUGAGCUAAUGAAAAUAUGCCUCAGAUAUUAUUAUAGAGGUUGGAUUAUUAGGUGCUAAAGCUGUGGGAAUGCCAUUAGAACAUAAUCAUUGUCCAGUAUUGGCGGGUGGACAUGUGCUUGAUGACCCUGCGUGUUAUCUUCGUUUGAUAGAUCGACGUAUUUAUCUGUGUUUCACUUGGUCAGAACUAUCGUAAAAUUUUUAUAUUUAUCUCAGUUCACGCAACAACCUAAAAAGGAGCAUUAGGAUGCAACUUUACGAGUUGUUCGCUACCUGAAAGAGAAUAUCUAACAACGUAUUUUGUUAAAAAGCAAAUAUGAUCUACGUUUAUAUGGAUGAUGUGACUCUGAUUGGGCUGGUUGUCCUUUGACUCGAUGCACUCUGAAAGGUUGGUUUAUCUUGUUGGGUGACUCACUAAGAAUAUGCUAUCUCUCGAUCAACUGCAGAGGCUAAAUAUCAUUAUAUGGCAAUGAAAAUCUGUUAGGUGAAAUGGUUGAAGAAAUUUUUGUCUAGUUUGGGAGUGACUUAAAUUUUCUUUCAUCUUUAUUGUGCCGAUCAAGCAGCUUUGAACAUAGCAAAGAAUUUAGUAUUUUAUGAAAGAACC